ensembl:lncRNA
GUCCUCAUACAGUGUGUUGUUCCUUCCCUUCCCUGGAAAUGAGUCCUAAAAAAAAUGGAUGGCACUUCAGAGAGAGAAAAACUAACUGCAUGGGUUGAAUUUAUUAAAUAUUUGACUCUGAAGCCACAGCCCUGGAUUUGAAUUUUGCACGACCUGGAGUUUUAUGUACCCAACAAGGAAGCAGGAUUUAUGAGAAAUGUAUUUGCAUGGAGGUCAUUUUUACAACUAUCAACUUCACUUCGAAGAGCUCUCCAUGAAAAGUAUAAUAAGGAAGUAAAAAGUAUACUGGAGUAGAUGCAAUUCAUCCAUUCAGCAAAAAAAAAAAGAAAAAAUGGUCAACUGCCUUCUAAAUGCCAGGCAUACUUUGAAGGCUAAGUUAACAGCAGUAAGCAAAAGAGACAAAAAUUCUUCCAAGGGUGAUCACAUUCUCAUGGGAGGCGUACAGUGUUGAGAGGACGCAAUCAUGGUAACAGCAGCUUAAAUGAAGUGGAAGUUUCUUUCUUUCUUACAUUUCAAGAAGAGUGAAAGCCAUCAAUUUGGGACUGAUAUGGUGCCAUAUGUUGUAAAAGACUCGCUCCUUUUCCACCCGGGCAUCCCUUGGUUCACAGAAUCCUUCACAUCAGCAGCAACAAGGAGAAAGAAGAAUAGAAGAAGAAAGAACAAGAUCAUGAGCCAGGUGGAGGCUGCCAAACCUCAACUCUUGCAGUAUGUGCACUCUCAGACUUACCACCACAUUGAAGCCACCAAGUCUUACAGCUUACACCUCUGGAGUUAUGGAUCAAGCUGUAACUGGCCCUCUCUGAGCUGAGGCUGGAGCUGGAGCAACCAGGAUGUGGG